GGACAAGUACACUGCUUGGUACAAGCAGCUGAAGGACAGGAAGGACACCCCACAAACUGACUGUAGAACUGAGAGUGAAUCCUGCCAGAAAGUGGAGUCAUAUGACCGGUUUGUGAACAUCACGGGGCUGGAGCCAUACACCAAGUACCUGUUCCAGGUGACCAUAAGUAACUACUACGGAGAGUACCUGGCGGAGACAGCAGGCAAGGAGGUUGUGCAGAGGACGAAACAAGGAGUGCCAUCACCAGCUCAGAAUGUCACUGCCUUCAUAGUCGAUCCCAGCAUAAUCCGUAUUGAGUGGAACCCCCCUUUGAAGCUGAAUGGACCACUACAAAAUAUUUCUUACGUGGUGAAGUGGUCAACCUUGAACUCCAAAGGCCACAACUUGGAAGGUCAGACCCGCCCUUCUGAUGUUCGUGCAUCACACU